rnacentral:lncRNA from 1 species
UUUGUGUACUUUGUUUCUUGCAAUAAUUGCAUGCCAUCAACAAUGGCGGAUCCAGGCAUCUGUUUGUGUACUUUGUUUCUUGCAAUAAUUGCAUGCCAUCAACAGUGGCGGAUCCAGGAUUUAAGGAUAGUAAGUGCUUAAAAAAUUUUUAAACUGAAAAAAAUAAAAAAUCACCUUAAUGAGGUUCGAACUGAAGGCCUCCUCCCAAUGAAGCACCUUAAGAUCAACUCAAAUGCCAAUGCACCCAACAAACUUUUGUUAUAGUGGGUGUUUUUAUAUGUUUUAUACCUAUUUUCAUAUAUUUUUCCGCGUUGAAUUUAUUGUGUGCCGGAGCACCCCAAAUUUCUACAUAGGUCCGCCACUGGCCAUCAAGUGUUAUUCACUGAAACAAGAUUUUAAUGUGCAAGUUGCAGAAACAGGCAACAGCCCUGGUAUGGGACAUUCCUCAAAAGGGCCUAAACCAACUAAUCCUAGUAAUUAUAAGCCACUAACUGGAGACACUUCCAGUACUAUUGAAGGAGAUGAUCGUCAAGUCACUCACAACAAUAAGAAUGUUG